rnacentral:rRNA from 1 species
AGUAACGCGUGGGUAACCUGCCCUGUACAGGGGGAUAACAGCUGGAAACGGCUGCUAAUACCGCAUAAGCGCACGAGGAGACAUCUCCUAGUGUGAAAAACUCCGGUGGUACAGGAUGGGCCCGCGUCUGAUUAGCUGGUUGGCAGGGUAACGGCCUACCAAGGCAACGAUCAGUAGCCGGUCUGAGAGGAUGAACGGCCACAUUGGAACUGAGACACGGUCCAAACUCCUACGGGAGGCAGCAGUGGGGAAUAUUGCACAAUGGGGGAAACCCUGAUGCAGCAACGCCGCGUGAGUGAAGAAGUAUUUCGGUAUGUAAAGCUCUAUCAGCAGGGAAGAUAAUGACGGUACCUGACUAAGAAGCUCCGGCUAAAUACGUGCCAGCAGCCGCGGUAAUACGUAUGGAGCAAGCGUUAUCCGGAUUUACUGGGUGUAAAGGGUGCGUAGGUGGCAGUGCAAGUCAGAUGUGAAAGGCCGGGGCUCAACCCCGGAGCUGCAUUUGAAACUGCUCGGCUAGAGUACAGGAGAGGCAGGCGGAAUUCCUAGUGUAGCGGUGAAAUGCGUAGAUAUUAGGAGGAACACCAGUGGCGAAGGCGGCCUGCUGGACUGUUACUGACACUGAGGCACGAAAGCGUGGGGAGCAAACAGG